UAAAAUAAUGGUUUGAAUAAUUUUGAAGUUUGCGUGGGCGGGAGAAGAGUGUGGUGAGUGUUUUGUUUGUGCAGAUUCACUCAAAUCGCUUAGUCACUUUGAAAUGGACGAAGAAGCUCCGAUUCUGCGACUGGAAAUUCUGCAAGGCCCUCGCCAAGGCGAAACCCUAGACUUCAAACCCGGAUCCGCUGUCCGAAUUGGGCGGAUCGUGAAGGGCAACACCCUCCCCAUUAAGGACCCUGGUAUCUCCUCCAAACACCUCUCCAUUCUCAACGAAUCCGGCAAAUGGAUGCUCCGCGACCUAGACUCCUCAAACGGCACCGUUUUGGACACUUCACAUAUUCCCCCGAACACUCCCUUCGCUCUCCACCACGACUCCACCAUCAAGAUCGGAGAAUUCACCUCCAUCCACGUCAUCUUUCUCCCUUCCCAACAACAACAACACGCUCUACCCCCCAGACGGAACCCCACGCGCCGCGGUCGAACCGAUCCGGCUCCAGCUCCAGCUCCGGCUCCGGUUCCGGCUGCUUCUCAGCCGGUUAAGAAACGCGGCCGCAAAAAAGGUUGGGGAGUGAAGGAUGGGGAUAAGAGUCAGGUUCAGAGCGUUGAUGAAAACGAGGCGAGUGUAGUGGACGUGGAAUCUGAGUGCGUGGAUCCUCCCGCGAGGGUUACGCGGAAGUCGAACAGAGGACGGAGUGUGCUUAAAGAAUUGAGUGUUGAUAAUUUGAUUCUUGCGGAGAAGGUGGAGGAACAGAAGGAUACGCGGAAUCCGAGAUUGGUUGUGGUUUCUGUUUCCAGUGAUGAUGAUUUGGAUAAUCCGGUGGUGGAGGAACCGAAGCAAGCGCGUCGGACACGGAAUUCGAAGAACACGCGUGGAGUGACUGCGAAAAUUGAGAAUGUUGAGAAGAAGACGAAGAUGGCUGUUGCUGGAAAGAGGGAAUUGGAUAAGGAAUCGAGUGUUGAUAUUUUGAUUCUUGCGGAGAAGGUGGAGGAGCAGAAGAGUACGCGGAAUCCGAGUUUGGUUCUGGUUUCUGUUUCCGGUGAUGAUAAUUUGGAUGAUCCGGUGGUGGAGGAACCGAAGAAAGCGCGCGGGACACGGAAUUCGAAGAACACGCGUGGAGUGACUGCGAAAACUGGGAAUGUUGAGAAGAAGACAAAGAUGGUUGUUGCUGGAGAGAGGGAAUUGGAUGAAGAAGGUGAAGAUGGGAAUGGUGGGAAAGAGGCUUGUGAUGGGAAAGAAAAGGGGAAUUCGAAUGAAGAUGAUAGGAAUUGGCCUGAUUUGAAUAAGAUGACACUUGGUGAGUGGCUUGACUUCUUGGAAAUUCACUUCCCCAAACAGAUAAUAGAUGAAACAGAAGAAAUGUUUGAUUCGAUGACUCAAACAGCUGAGAGACUCCUCGAGUACAUCGCAGAGAGGCAACGACAAAAUGCCAAGGAUAAAAUGGCACUUGAGAGAUAGGCCAAAAUAUACGGUUUGAGGUCUGCUAUUGCAUGAUCUGCACUGGCUGAGGAUCUAACUUGUGUAGGGUUUUAGUUAUGGAGCAGCUUUUCUUGAACCAGUCUAAUUUUUGGAGUUAUACAAAAUCCCUAUCAUUUCUCAUUCUCAAGUUGUCCAAAGAUAUGAUGGACUGGAAGCAUCGGGUAAUGCUCGAGUUAUGAUGCAGAGGAUUUGUUGUGUAAUCAUACCCACCACCCACCAGGUGGAAGAUUAUCAUGCCAUUGCAGUCUUGUAGCGUUCUGCAUAAUUCAGAUGACCCUUUACUUUGAUAGAUAAUACAGAUGCUCUUGAGACCGAGACUCCAUGAAAUUUUAGUGUCAAGUGUUUUAUGCAUCAUGGUUUUAGAGGAGUAUGCAAAACUUAAACGAUCAUUUUGUUAUAGCUUGAUGAUUGUUAUAAAUGAAGAACCUUACAUUUUUUUA